AUAAAAGCAGCAGUACUCUUACUUACUAAUACUGCUAUUAACAACUUAUUGUUAUAUUAAAAAAUAAAGAACCCAAGAGACGUUUUCAUUAAUUAUUAUAUUUUCUGCAUUAUAGUUUAACAUAUGUACUUUCUUCGUGUCAUCCUUAUUUUCGUUAAGUAUUGGUAUUUUGUUAUAUUCAGACAGGAGUACAUUUUUGGAACAGUCCUUUGUAAUAAAUAUCAUAAAAUAAUAGAAAUUCACAUAAUAAAUAUUCUUUACAAUAAAAAAGUUUUAACAGACCUUUGUCUUAAAAAUAGUCAGAAUUCAACUUUGUGUUUUUACAUAAAAUAUACAAAAAGCACCACAAUUUGUGGCUAAGGCAAUAAAAACAGAGGAUUAAAGUUAUCGAGCACAGACUAGAGUUAAAUGUCAUUAAACCACAGAAAUAAUAGAAGUGUUAAGAGAUCCAAGAAUGUUUACACAACUUAAAACUGUAUGAUACCUGAAGAGUAUUACUCAGAUGUGCAGAAAUCAACAACUUUAGCAUCAAAAGAGGAGAAAAAAGGGGGUGGGAGUGAAAACUUAGGACCUUGUACAAUUCUGAAAGCUAUAGAAACCAAUGAAGAAAGCUGUAUCAUAAGAGUCAUAGAAUUGUAGAGUUGGAAGGGACCCCAAGGGUUAUCUAGUCCAACCCCUGCAAUUCAAGGAAUCUAAGCUAGAGCAUCACAAUAUUCUCAUAGCAUUUCUAGUGAAGAUGGUGUGUGUGUUUGUGUGUGUUGGAAAUCCAAGCUAGAUAAGGCUUUGCAAUACGGAUCAUGAAAUUCUAAAAGAUCUGUUGAGAUGGGAGCAAAAGCCAGGAUGCUUGCAAUCCAUACAGACAGCAGGACUAGGUUUGCUAAAUUUUAACCCAACUAUUU